rnacentral:rRNA from 1 species
AAGCUCGUAGUUGGAUUUCGGCGUGCGCUCAGGCUGGUCGGCCGUCAAGGUCUGUACCGUUUGGGUCACGCCCCACUGUAGGAUACUCACCGCUGUCCUUAACUGGGUGGCGGUCAAAGGGGGUGUGCAUGGGGGCAACUCUGUGCAUAUCUCUGGGGUUCCUACUCUUUUACUUUGAGCAAAUUAGAGUGUUCAAAGCAGGCAAUCGAGCCUUGAAUACUUCAGCAUGGGAUAAUGGAACAGGACUGGGGUCCUGAUUUCGUUGGUUUCUGGGAUCUCAGUAAUGAUUAAUAGGGAUAGUUGGGGGCAUUAGUAUUUAAUUGUCAGAGGUGAAAUUCUUGGAUUUAUGAAAGACUAACUUCUGCGAAAGCAUUUGCCAAGGAUGUUUUCAUUAAUCAAGAACGAAAGUUAGGGGAUCGAAGACGAUCAGAUACCGUCGUAGUCUUAACCAUAAACGAUGCCGACCAGCGAUUGGGAGACGUUACAUGGAUGACUCCCCCAGCAGCUUGCGAGAAAUCACAAGUCUUUGGGUUCCGGGGGGAGUAUGGUCGCAAGGCUGAAACUUAAAGGAAUUGACGGAAGGGCACCACCAGGAGUGGAGCCUGCGGCUUAAUUUGACCCAACACGGGGAAACUUACCAGGUCCAGACAUAGUAAGGAUUGACAGAUUUGAGAGCUCUUUCUUGAUUCUAUGGGUGGUGGUGCAUGGCCGUUCUUAGUUGGUGGAGUGAUUUGUCUGGUUAAUUCCGUUAACGAACGAGACCUUAACCUGCUAAAUAUGUCACUGGUAGACUUCUGCCAAAACAGGUGGGUGUCUAGGGGAAAGUUUCGAUGGACUCCGACGCAUUCAUCUGUGGAUGACUACCAGGAUGUACUUCUUAGAGGGACUAUCUGUAUCAAAGCAGAUGGAAGUUUGAGGCAAUAACAGGUCUGUGAUGCCCUUAGAUGCUCUGGGCCGCACGCGCGCUACACUGACAAGUUCAACGAGUUUAACACCUUGCUCGAUAGGGCUGGGUAAUCUUUGAAAAACUUGUCGUGAUGGGGAUAGAUCAUUGUAAUUAUUGGUCUUCAACGAGGAAUUCCUAGUAAGCGUGAGUCAUCAGCUCGCGUUGAUUACGUCCCUGCCCUUUGUACACACCGCCCGUCGCUCCUACCGAUUGAAUGAUCCGGUGAAAUGUUGGGAGCUGGGGUCUUUUGGCGGCGGGGCAACUCGUCGUCAGGGAUUCUGCAAACUUCCUUAACCCUUAUCAUUUAGA